rnacentral:lncRNA from 1 species
UGGGCCGCACGCGCGCUACACUGAUAUAUUCAACGAGUUUAUAGCCUUGGCCGACAUACCCGGGAAAUCUUUGAAAUUUCAUCGUGAUGGGGAUUGAUCAUUGCAAUUGUUGGUCUUCAACGAGGAAUUCCUAGUAAGCGCGAGUCAUCAGCUCGCGUUGACUACGUCCCUGCCCUUUGUACACACCGCCUCCGACAGGCCCGGGUAAUCUUUGAAAUUUCAUCGUGAUGGGGAUUGAUCAUUGCAAUUGUUGGUCUUCAACGAGGAAUUCCUAGUAAGCGCGAGUCAUCAGCUCGCGUUGACUACGUCCCCGCCAUUUGUACACACCGUCCGUCGCUCCUACCG